UAUUUCCCUCCGAUUGCUUAGCCCCAUCCGGUUCCCUCUCUCUUUAAUCCCCACCUCCAUAGAUCACAUCCUUCACUGCAGAUCUGUGCUACAUCCCCCCUCUCAGGAUUCAAACGGAGCAGCGAAGGUGAGAGAGAUUAUCCAAAAGACAUCUGAAAGUUCCAAAAGACAAACUGGAUAAUCUCAUCGGGGUACUGGAGAAACUGGAGGCUCACACAUAGGUGCUGCAGGAACUGGUACUGCUAGAGAGGCUGAAGAAGGGGAACAUUCUGACAAUGGAUCUCAUAUAGAUGAAUCUAUGCCGAUCCAUUGAGCCAAUCUAUUGUGAUCUUACACUUCUAUGCUAGCUAAACUUAGUGCUUUUGUCAAACUUGAGGUGAAGUUAUCGUGCCCUAUUGUGAACCUUUAGAACUUGUGACUUUUGUUGAUCUGAUCAUGUUAGGCGCCCUUGGGGAAUAUAAACAUGUAGAACUGCUCAUUAGGGAGUGGAUGACUAUUUUGUGACUUCUCAAAUUGUAGGACAUGUGAUCAUUGAGUGUGAUUUGAACAAUGGCA